GUCAUAAGGCCAUGGGCAUGAUGUCACCCCUGCCUCCCUCUGACCACCUGUACUAAUCCUUUGAGUCAGACUGGAUCCCACUCCCAGUCUACUUGAGGGCCAGGGAGCAAGAUCACAGCGUGAGUGGGGCCCAGAUUUUUCUAGCCCUACACCCAAAUGGGGCUUCUCCCUCAUAAGCCAUUCCCCCAGACUCUCCAGAUGUUGUUCAGCCCCAGCCUUGCUUCUCACCCUGUUCCGGGCUUCAGUACACACAGCGCACAGGGUGAAGGAAAUGAGAGUGGACCGGGGACUUUUAACUCUGGAUCCAGAGGAUGUUAAGGCAAACAUGGACCUUUGUCAGGCUUGUAGUGACGGGCCCAGCUUCUAUCCAGAACCAAACAGCGGGUUGUAAUAAUUAAUUCUCUUGUCAUAAUAAGAUAUUUGGACUUCACCCCAAUCUGCUCCACACCCCCACACUCCCAUCCCGAAUUUCAGCGUGUGGCCCUGGAGCUCUUAAUCCUACCGGACUUCUUUGUGGUAGCUAAUAGAUAGCUUUUUAUUGGAUCUGUGCCUAUGGGGUGCUGGCAGUGCUCCCCACUUGUUCCCCAAGUCACUCUUGCUUCCUCCCAGGUUCUGCUGGCUCAGACAUAUCUUUCUGCGUUGGGGCCUUUCACUUGCUGCUCUUUCUGUCUGAUGCUCUGGCCUCCUCCUUCUGUCACGCGGAUCUGGGCUGAAGUUCUCCCUUCACACAAUCCCUUCCUUCUCCCAGUGUAUCCUGUUACAACCACGGACAUUGGCUUCAUGCGAUGGAGUCUCACCGUGCACCUCUGGUUUAGAACUGGUUUAAAUUGACCUCGACCUCUGAUCUCCAGCCUCAUCCUGUGCGAGGAUCACAGGCGGUGCCACCACUCUGCUGGGGCUCAAGCUCAGACUUGGGAAUGCAUGCUUUCUCCUGCUGCCCCAUCUUGCUGCCCUGUUGGUGGUGGCAGACAGCUGUUCUGGUAGAUUUGGGGUGGAGUUUUUACUUUGGUUUGGAUUUGCAUUUCCCCAGAGAUAAUAAAGUUAAGCUUCUUUUA